UUUAUACUUGCAGGGUUCAUCGGGCCAAUGUAUACGUGUUUUGAGAUUCCUAUCAUUAUUGUGUUUUGAGCACUAGGAUUUGUGUUGCUGAAGUUGUUACACUUGACAUUAUUGUUUCAUUUUCAUCUAAAUUAAAUAUCUGAUUCUUAUGCAGGUAUGCCAAAGAGAUUCUUCAAAAAGAAAUGCUUUCUCAUGUUGGUGUUGGGGAGUACUGUGAGACAAAAUUUGCUUAUUACUUUGGGUAAGGCAUUAUUCUUUUGUAAGUUUCUAUCUACAUGUAUGUGGUUGUUGCUCCUGAACCAGUACCAAUUUUUGUUCUCUCCAGGUAUGACUGUUGUCACAGUAAUUAAAUGAUCUAACUAUGAUGUUGUUGGGAUGUUUUUGAUGUCUGAAGGAAGAUCAUUGGAGCAAGAUACUUCAACAAGUGAUAUAGUGCCGUUGUCGGGAACAAACUGUGCUUGAAGAGGGAGAGCCUCUCAGCUACAUUGUUGCCCCUACACAAGGCGUACCCCGUCAUCUCUGCUGCAUCGGCCAAAGCUGGCAACGCAUCAGCUGAUGAGGCGUAAGUUGAUGUACAUUAUUGCUGAUAAUAAUCAAUCACUGGAAUCCUAUUGCUGCUUUGUUUUUUUUUUCAUCAAGAAAUGUUGUGAAAAAUGUAGCUUGCUCUGCAAAUCUGGCACCUUGAAUCCACGGAAGGCGAAGGGGAAGUUUUGGUGUGCCUACGAGGGGACAACGCGAGAGUUGACAAGGGCGAGCAAGCUGCCUUGGCUGGUGCAGUAGGGAUGGUUUUAGCUAACAAUGAGGCUUCUGGUAAUAAAAUUCUUGCUGAUCCUCGUGUUCUCCCUGCAUCACACAUCAACUUUUUCGAUGGCCUCGCCCUUUUCUCUUCACACAUCAACUUUUCCGAUGGCCUCGCCCUUUUCUCCUACAUCAACUCAACGAGGUUCGAAUCAUGAAUCAUGAAUCAUGGAUCCUAUUGAAAGCUUUUUCUGACAUGGAGAAGUUCUUGCUUUCUUUGACCUUUCGAAAGCUUCUGGGAACUAUUAUGACUUGUGGAUUUUGAAUGUAGGAUUCUCUAUGAAAAAUACUAUUAUGGUGUAGCUUUUUAGAUGUUCAUUAUGGUGUUGGGAGAUGUUGUAAAACAAUGGAUCUUAUUUUGUGGAUGUUGGAUUAUUAGUUGUUAUCAAUGUUUAAAUGAGCA
rnacentral:lncRNA from 1 species